rnacentral:misc_RNA from 1 species
GGAAGUAAAGUCGUAACAAGGUCUCCGUUGGUGAACCAGCGGAGGGAUCAUUACCGAGUUAUCAACUCCCAAACCCCUGUGAACAUACCCAACGUUGCUUCGGCGGGACCGCCCCGGCGCCCUCGGCGUCCCGGAACCAGGCGCCCGCCGGAGGACCCAAACUCUUGUUUAAACCAUAGUGGCAUAUUCUGAGUCUCACAAGAAAAAUGAAUCAAAACUUUCAACAACGGAUCUCUUGGCUCUG